rnacentral:rRNA from 1 species
CCUACGGGGGCGCAGCAGUGGGGAAUAUUGGACAAUGGGCGAAAGCCUGAUCCAGCCAUGCCGCGUGUGUGAAGAAGGCCUUCGGGUUGUAAAGCACUUUCAGUGGGGAAGAAAGCCUUGGGGCUAAUACCCUCGAGGAAGGACAUCACCCACAGAAGAAGCACCGGCUAACUCCGUGCCAGCAGCCGCGGUAAUACGGAGGGUGCGAGCGUUAAUCGGAAUUACUGGGCGUAAAGCGCGCGUAGGCGGUCUGAUAAGCCGGUUGUGGAAGCCCCGGGCUCAACCUGGGAACGGCAUCCGGAACUGUCAGGCUAGAGUGCAGGAGAGGAAGGUAGAAUUCCCGGUGUAGCGGUGAAAUGCGUAGAGAUCGGGAGGAAUACCAGUGGCGAAGGCGGCCUUCUGGACUGACACUGACGCUGAGGUGCGAAAGCGUGGGUAGCAAACAGGAUUAGAUACCCGAGUAGUC